GACUUCAGUUGGUCGAUACACGCGCGCGAAUCGGACCUCGCCAAUGUCGGCCUAGCUCGUCCGAACGACGAUAUGUCGCGCGAGCGAGGAUCGAGCUCGCGCGCUAUCCGCCUGUUGCUUGGCCUGCUGCAGAUUUCGGGCCCCGUUCGCGCCCGAGCGAAGCCCGUCCACUACGACUACUUCUACCCUUGGCGCCAGAACGCGUCGAGCGUUUCCACGCCGAACGCUUACCUGCCGCCGGGAUCGCCCGACUUCAUGCUACCCGAGGUCCUCGACAAUCGUGCGAGAUCGUCGGUACCGAUUUCCAGUGCUGACUUGUAUCCGGCGUACCAGUUCGCACGACCCAUGCACGACCAGAGAGCCAAAGCCGCCGCGGAAAAUCAUGGCUUUCAAGAUAGCUUGCCGAAUCAGGUGACCGUCAGCGAAAUGUCUUGUCAGAAUGAUGUCGACGAGCUGUAUUUUCGAGCAACGUUAUCCUUCCUGAAAAAUCUCGCGCAUCCCAUUAUAGAAAAUGCGGGCAGCAGUUCUUGCAAAGUAUUGCAAUUUCAAAACGAGUACCGCAUCAGUUUCGGCAAAGACGAGUUUUGGAAUUGCGGGGUAGUGGAUUGCUCGACAGGUUCGGACAGAAGCUUUUGCCUGAGAGUAAGAUUCCCGACGAUCGCCGGUUUAAGAUUGAAGGACGAUCUGACCGUGACGCUACAGUGCAGAGCGCAGAGGAGCGUGGCCUCCCACACGCGGCGUGUGAUUUUGAACGCCAUUGACACUUCAGCGAGAACGGCUCCGAGAGUGGCGGCGGGCGGGCACAAGAGUGCGUUCGAGACUGAGCUGACACUGCACAGGAGGACGCCGGGGUCCGAGCAAUUCGACUCGAAAAUCGAGGCGGGCGGAACGGUCGUCCUCGGAGAGGAAAUUUUGCUGAGAGCCGCCGUGCGCGACGGGGACGGCUGGAAAUACGCGAAAAUGAGCGAAGUGACGAUGCACCACCACGUGGGCAGCAGGCAGCGCGACAAAGCGACGAGCAGCCUGUGGGUUCUGGACGACGAGGGUUGUCUCAAUUCUCAGCUGCCGGGAAUAGGCUUGGGCGAGCAGUAUCGAGUUGGCCCGUUGGAGAGUUACCUGCUUUUCCGUGCGUUUAUGUUUGACAGCGCGCAGGAGACGGACGAGAUUGCGUUAACCGUGAAGAUAACUGGCUGCUUGCGAGGCGAAGACUGCGUUUUCAACUGCCCAGCGGCCCACGUGAGAAAAGCCCAGGAAACCGCUCGCGGCAAAAGGCAGCUGCGAGCUAGCAAUCGGACCAUCGAUUGGCAAAACGACGUCACUUUCAAAGUUGCAGCUUCCUCGGGUCCGAAUCGUCGAAUCAGCGCUUCGCAAACGCUGCUGCUUUAUUUUUUGACUGCGCUGCUCAUUCUUAGUUUAAUCAGCCUGCUUUGUAUUGUCUGUGUGUUUACUAGGAAAAGUAAACGGUUUUAUACAGAAUAAUGGUAGUCCCGUUAAGUCAAGAAUCCUGACAACUAUGUGAAAAUCAAUCUAAAUCCAGCAGGACGCCAUCACUCUAAAUCAAUUACCGAUCAAGAUGCUUCGUCUAUGGUACAGUGAGUCGUCUACAGAUGGCAAUGCAAUGUUCCGAAAUUACGCAUCAAGUCUUUGCAAAUGUGCUCUUUCAUUGGUGAAACUUUCAAAAAUUUACUUUAAUAGAUCAAUCAAUGCAUGAAUUUACUGUAUCAGUUUUCAACAAUAAAAAGUCUGCAAUGUUAUUUAUUAAUUCAAUAGCUACAUUUGUGUUUGAUAUACUCGUUCUGCUUCGACAUUUGCGUAUUUUGAUGACACGUGUUAACGUACGCAAUUAAAAAAAAUGGAAUCUUAACUGUCAGAUAGAUCCUUUCGGUUGAAUAGAGUACACAGUGUCGACCUAAAUAACGCAACAAUACUCGCGCAUUCACCUAGAAACGAUGAAAACAUUACGAUGAAAAGUUUCCAACAUUGGCCAUCCAAACCGAUAUCCCAU